UGCAAGUCGAACGCGUUGGCCCAAUUGAUUGAUGGUGCUUGCACCUGAUUGAUUUUGGUCGCCAACGAGUGGCGGACGGGUGAGUAACACGUAGGUAACCUGCCCAGAAGCGGGGGACAACAUUUGGAAACAGAUGCUAAUACCGCAUAACAGCGUUGUUCGCAUGAACAACGCUUAAAAGAUGGCUUCUCGCUAUCACUUCUGGAUGGACCUGCGGUGCAUUAGCUUGUUGGUGGGGUAAUGGCCUACCAAGGCGAUGAUGCAUAGCCGAGUUGAGAGACUGAUCGGCCACAAUGGGACUGAGACACGGCCCAUACUCCUACGGGAGGCAGCAGUAGGGAAUCUUCCACAAUGGGCGCAAGCCUGAUGGAGCAACACCGCGUGAGUGAAGAAGGGUUUCGGCUCGUAAAGCUCUGUUGUUAAAGAAGAACACGUAUGAGAGUAACUGUUCAUACGUUGACGGUAUUUAACCAGAAAGUCACGGCUAACUACGUGCCAGCAGCCGCGGUAAUACGUAGGUGGCAAGCGUUAUCCGGAUUUAUUGGGCGUAAAGAGAGUGCAGGCGGUUUUCUAAGUCUGAUGUGAAAGCCUUCGGCUUAACCGGAGAAGUGCAUCGGAAACUGGAUAACUUGAGUGCAGAAGAGGGUAGUGGAACUCCAUGUGUAGCGGUGGAAUGCGUAGAUAUAUGGAAGAACACCAGUGGCGAAGGCGGCUACCUGGUCUGCAACUGACGCUGAGACU
rnacentral:rRNA from 1 species